rnacentral:rRNA from 2 species
UAAGGAUCGCAUGAUCCCUUAGAUGAAAGAUGGUUCCGCUAUCGCUUUUAGAUGGACCCGCGGCGUAUUAACUAGUUGGUGGGGUAGCGGCCUACCAAGGUGAUGAUACGUAGCCGAACUGAGAGGUUGAUCGGCCACAUUGGGACUGAGACACGGCCCAAACUCCUACGGGAGGCAGCAGUAGGGAAUCUUCCACAAUGGACGCAAGUCUGAUGGAGCAACGCCGCGUGAGUGAAGAAGGUCUUCGGAUCGUAAAACCCUGUUGUUAGAGAAGAACACGAGUGAGAGUAACUGUUCAUUCGAUGAC